UCUCAGCGCUGUCAAAACCCUGCACCUUAAUAAUAUUGAGCCCUAGUCUAAACACUCCAUUCUCAGCGCUGUCAAAACCAUGCACCUUAAUAAUAUUGAGCCCUAGUCUAAACACUGCAUUCUCAGCGCUGUCAAAACCCUGCACCUUAAUAAUAUUGAGCCCUAGUCUAAACACUCCAUUCUCAGCGCUGUCAAAACCAUGCACCUUAAUAAUAUUGAGCCCUAGUCUAAAUGAAAACACUGUGUUCUAAAACAGAGCUCCAAAACCUGAAGAGAGUGGAAAGAUUGCGUCACAGCAUGCUGGAUCUGAAGCUCAUGUGCUCAAUGGACUCUCUGUUUAUGGAAAAACAGGGAGUUUUAGUUGUUGAACUGCAUUUGUUUUUGAGAUUUUCCGUCAACAUAUUUAUUUCAGGGCUCACGGCGUUCUUUUUUUGGAAGUGACACCCUGAACGGUUGCGAUCUCAUUGUCAACGACUGAAGAAGCAGCUUUUUCAGGUACAGAUAACGUUUCCAUAUGAAAAGGCUGAUUUGUAUUCAUAAGAACGAAAGCAGGGCGGUUCCUAGCAGCUGAAUGAUCUCAGAACUUUGUCAAGUUAAAGGACUUGAGGGAUCCAUGUGUUUCUGCCUCAACAACAUGACUAGACAGCCCGUCCCAUGCCCUCACCACUCUCUGUGUGAAGAAGUGUGUCCUUGCCUCUGGCCUGUCUACCUCGAUUUCCAGCUGUGUUCUCUGGUCCGGGUUUCUGGGCUGCGCUUACAGUAUUGGCUCUGGUUAACAAUGUCAAGUACUUUUUGAGAUUUUAAAGACUUCAGUCAAUCUCCUUUCCCCUAUUUCUUAUUUGUUCCAGGCUAAAUAAAUUUGGUGCAAUCGGACUGGAAUUAGCAAGGGAAAUGCACACUUCAAAACAAUCUAUCAAACUUUUAAGGUCAGACGUCAACUGGAGAAGCAGUUCGGCGAGUUCUGUGUACUAAUAAAGAACGGUUUGUGCUUGUAUUUAUACAUAAUUGAUGUUUUUUCCUUUUGGACAAAAUGCGCUAAUGACCAUUUGGAGUAAAUAGCCAUUAGUAUUUCUCUACAGCUCUGGCCAAAAGUUUUGCAUCACCUAGAAUUUUAGGAUUGAGACAUAAUUAAAAAAAAAAAAGAUGUUAGAUCAUGUUAGAUUUUGAAAAGUCACAUUUUCCUUUUAUUCAGUUUUUUGUUAAGAAAACCACAGAGCGCUGUGCAAUUCAAUAUGUUAACGUAACAUUAUUCAGCAGGUUUCAUUCGACUUUAUGAAGAUAAAUUUGUUCAUUCUAUAGGGGGAUUGCAAAACUUUUAGCCAUAGCUGUAGAUUUAGCCAUAGCUAUUAAAAAAAACAAAAAAACAGUAGCAUUUAAUUUAGAAAUACUAAAAGAAACUUUAACUAUAGCAGCAGAUAUACUUCUAUUGAAUUUCUUAAAUUUUGAUGAAAUAGUUUCUUAAGCAUUGCUAGAUUGACCACUAUUGAAUGUUUUAUAGUUAGAGAGUUAUAUAAGAAAAAGUAGCCAAGAAAGAGAAAGCAAAGAAAGAAAUGGAAAUACAAAAGUGGGCAAAAGAAAACGAGAUGAUCCAAAGUGUUGUGGUGUGCUGAUACUCGUGAUGAUAUUAUCAUUGUCAGUUCACAGCCUCAAGACGGCAGUAGAAAUGCCAGCACCCCGGAUGGCAGGAAAAUUGGCUUCCAAUCGGCUUUUAAAACACUCGGCGCGGAAGAUAAUUGCCAUCGAUUGGUACUCGAUUGUAAAGAGCGUGCCGAUGAUUGACAGUAAAGACAUGACGCAGCCUUUGGAAAAUGGUGUGCUUCCUGCUGGCAUUCUGGGAGACCUUGUGUGGGUGAAUGGAGUGGAGUGAGGACAUUCAGUCUUGAACAAAGAAGACUACACAGCGAUCUGAUUCAAGCAUUCAAAAUCCUAAAAGCAUCUGGUUACGCUUACCCUACAAGAAGUCAUUAUCUCUCCGGGACCAGGGAUCUAUAAUUGAGAUGCUGUGUGAGUGGGGUGCUUCACAAGUUCUCUGACCUCACUGUAAAUAGCAAGAGGUCCUCCUGUGAUCUCUCACAGAGAGGAGAAACCAGCCUGGCUUCGGACUCUGGCUCCUGUGCAACAUCCCAAUGGCAAUGAAAUCAAUCUCAAUUAUACGGGCCGAUUUUUCCACUGCCAAAUACAUUUACCAUGGAGGGGGGCAAUUUCCCUGCAAUUUUCCCACAGUGGAGUAUACAUACAGAGGCCUCGGUGGCGCAGUCAAAAUGCCAGCGCUCUGGAGGAGAGAAAAGCUGGCUUCCAAUCGGAUUGGUCGGUACUCCAUUGUAAAGGCGAGAGAAGGACAGCUUUUCUUUUUUUUAAAGAUAACAGAAAUAAACUGCAGUACUGGAGUAUAAAUACCAGGCGUGGUGGCAUACACAGACAGAGAAGCACAGAAGUAAUGCAUCUAUAUACUGCAUGCUAUCCUCUUUCGUGAAAUAACAGCAGUACUCCGUCAGUGUUAACUGGGUAUCCUUUAUCCCUGUUAUCAAUGCUGAAGGAACAGUUUUCACACACAGUAGGCUCUCGCGAAUUUGACCUAGCUCGGAGAAGUGGUUUGUACGGAUCGCAGUCUGUACCACGUUAACAAGGCCUUGUCUAGGCUUUUGUUUUAUGGUUUUGACACUCACAGCAAAGAUCAGCAAUAAACCUUUGAAUGAACCGCUUGUAAAAGGAUUACACACUGUAAUGGAUCUCCUUCUAGCGGCUGAGUUAACAGUACUGACAGCAGUAUAGGACCCGGGCUUGCCACAAUGGUAAGACGUUUGUGUUUGAAGCAUGUGGUCCGGGUUCAGUUCCUACUGAAUACUGAGGUUUGGUUUUAACAGCUGUGUUUUGGAUUGUAGGUCAAUUCUUACUCGCAGUGUUCGAUUUGAGGCGAGUCUCCUAUAUUGUAUUUGAAAAGGCUGGUGCAUAACACAAUGUCAUUUUAUUUAGAAAGGAAAAGCCCUCUGUUCCUAGUUUUAAAUUCUUAAAUCACGCUGGAACCUCCCCUGGGUAGAAUCAAAGGCACGCUCAAAGUGCAUGUCAAAGCUUCCUUCUGUUGCAAUGAGAUAAAAAAAAAACUGUUUUAGAGUCACCCUGGCCUGCGAGAAGGGAAGAAACAUUGAGAUUUCAUUCAGCACUGAAAGGGUUAAUAACCUCCCGCUGCUGAAGGCGUUAGCAGGAGCGUUACUAAAUUACAAGAAGCUUCCGAGAGAGAAAACCAGCCCUCCAGCCCGGAACUACAUUUUAGGGAAUGUAAACAAACUGGAGCACCAAACGGGUCUGCUUUCUAGCGCAGUACAGAAGGAAAUUAUCUCACAGCGCUUGUAAAGGAGACCCGCCUCUUCCCCCAUACAGGUUUAUCUCUGUUUGCAUUGGCAGAACCUCACCCGAAACACUGCAGUGAAAUAUUGCACCAAUAAAACAAACCAUCCUGUCAGGGGGCGGAAAAGAAAACCACAAUGGAAAGAAUGGUGAGUUUGAGAGUUUGCUCCAGCUAGCAGAAACGCUUGGCUUCUGGAAUGCGACUACCACCAAUUUGAGCAUACAUGGAUGACAUGACAACCAUGACUACAACAGUAGCCUGCACUAAUCGGUUAUUGGGCAAAUUAACCAAUAACACUGAAUGGGCAAGAAUGCAAUUCAAGCCAACUAAAUCAAGGAGCGUCUCUAUAAAGGUAAAGUAGAAGAUAAAAAGGUUCUACAUUAAUGGUGAGGCAAUACCAACAGUGUCUGAGAAGCCAGUGAAGAGUCUUGGGAGAUGGUACGACGGGGAUCUAAAGGACACAGUUUGUGUGGGAGAAGUAAGACAACAAGCAGUGGAAGGGUUGAAGAGCAUAGACAGCAGAGCUUUACCAGGCAAACUAAAACUCUAGUGCUUUCAGUAUGGUCUACUGCCGAGGCUGCUGUGGCCGCUGACUGUGUCCCUGUGAUACCUGGAGCCAGCAUUACACUUCAGCCAUCAACACCAGGCAGAAGGAUAUCUACAUCAUCAGAUGGAAAGAAACACAGAUGGAUGGAGACACAGAUGGAUCACAUUAGUUAACUGUAAAGCUAUGUCUUAGUUGGUGCUUAUCUUGGCGAGAGCCGAGUUCAAAUCAGCAUGAAGUUUUAACAUCUACUCUCAUGUAAUCGAAAUAAUUGUUUAGCAGACCACAGCAUUGCAAGCAAAGACAACUUCACACUGGAUUCAGACCAGCACAGAUGGUGGUUCUUCUAAGGUUAUUACUGAGUUGGUAGCAUGAUUAAAUU